UGACUUAUUUCCUAACUAACUGCCAGACAUUGUAUAACUUAUACAAAAAUUAGUACAUGUAUAAAUUGCUUCUUUACUAGCUACCAAACAAGCUCUGAUUGUUUUUUAUUGUAGUUGUUAGUCAACUAUGAUGUAAAAUAGUCUGACCUUUUGAAUUUUCAGCUAUUGAUGUAGCCUCUUUGGAUGCUGAUCUAGAAUCCUUAUUUUUUUAAAUAUUAACAACCACCUAGCCCACCAACUUUGACCAUGGAAUAUAACUAAGUAGCCAGAUCAGUUAGACCAAAUAUUAAGUUUCCACACUGUCAUGCCACCACUCUACAUUGUUUUUUUUCCCUUCUUAUCACUUCUGUUUUCUUGAUUUCUCAUACAAAAUCAAUCAUCACUUCAAUGGAGAAAGUGAGUUUCAGAAUAGAAGUCCUCAGCAGACACCUAAGUCAAAAAACAUCAACUCCCAAGUAUACAUUCCAAUCAGUCCCAUGUCUUAGCUACAAGCCACCUGAGCUUUCAGAACCAUCUGCUGUUUUCAACAUAAAAGAGAUGAGAAAGCUCGUGGAUGGUCACAAUUUGAAGGAAAGGGAGUGGCUUUUUGGUCUGAUGUUACAAAGCAAUCUUUUUAACCCAAUAGAAAGGGGUGGCAAAGUGUUUGUUUCCCAUGAUUACAGUCAGUCUAAGGAACAACAAAGGGAAAUUACCAUGAGGAGAAUUGAGUACCUUCUUGAACAUGGGGUUUUCAAGAAAUGGUUUACUGGUAAAGGGCCUGAAAAUGAGUGGAGGAAGUUAGCUUUCUCGGAUUGUGUUGGCGUCUUUGAUUAUUCACUUAGCAUCAAGCUUGGAGUCCAUUUGACCCUAUGGUAUGUUCUUGUCCAUUGUGUGCCUAUUUUUAAUAUCCGGAAGUUAGUGGCCUAACUAAUUUGCAUACCUCUCCGGUAGGUCCCAACUAAGGGAGAAGUUAUCUAUUCUCGAGGCCUGAACUCGAGACGUAUGGUUGAGGGGGAGACAUUUGGUUAAGUGUGGCGUCCACUAAGAGAUAAGUUCUUCAUUCCCGAGAGUUGAACCCUUGGCCUAUGGUUAAGGGUUAGAAUUGUAGUUAAGACUUAAGAGGUUCUUCAUUUCUAAGACUUGGUAGAACCCGACUCUUGUGGUUAAGUGCAAAACUUUGGUUAAGUGUGAAGGGGGUCACCUCCAUCCCACCUCACCUCUUGAUGGUCCGAAUGAUAAAUUGCUAUAAUGGUUGUUGUUACUGUUUGUUUUUCACUCAAAUUAGUUGGGAUCAAAUAUAUGAAUCGGCUUUGUCUAUCUCAGAGAACUCAUAAUUCCACUCUUUUUACUAUGGUUGUCAUAAGACAUUAUUAUUGAAUAGGAAUAAGAAAGAGUAUAAGUAGACAUUAAAUUUUCCUGUACGGACAUUCUUGAUUGCUUGAUUGAUUGGUUAAAGAAAGCUUACUUGGCAACUUUAGACCACCCAUCUGUGGAGGGUAGGAUGUACGCAAACCCUACCCCUGCCUUUGUGGGGUAGAUAGUUUGUUUCCGGUAGACCCUUGGCUCAAAACAAAAGUUUUUUAAGCAAGGAAAAUGCAAUAGAAAAAUAGCAAAAUAGCAAGAUACAAAGCAAAUGAAACAACAGACGGUACCACACAUUGAAAAAUAAGAAACAAAGCAAAUGCUAACUAGUACUACCACUACUAAUAGGAGGGGUAUUAUAUAAUUUUUUGAAUUAAUUUAAAUUGAAAAGUAUUAUAUAAAUUAGAAAGUCGUUUGUUUACAUUGAUGGGAUGUAUAAGAAUAUUUCAUGAGAUCCAUUAUCCCACCUUUUGUAUGAAAUUGCUAAUUUCACCAUUUUGUACAAAAUUAUUUUUGGAGCUAAUCAACAUCUAUAUUCAAAUAUGUAUAAAUUAGAAAGUCGUUUGUUUACAUUGAUGGGAUGUAUAAGAAUAUUUCAUGAGAUCCAUUAUCCCACCUUUUAUAUGAAAUAGCUAAUGUCACCAUUUUGUACAAAAUUAUUUUCGGAGCUAAUCAACAUCCAUAUUCAAAUAUGAGACUGAGUUGUUGUUCGGUAGCUGGUUAGAAUUAUGCAGGUAUUAGCUAUUCUAUCCUCUACUCCGUAUAAGAUAAUACACCAAUUCCCUCAUAACUCAUACAUGUAUUAGUUACGAGUUUCUAAAUUGCAAACCAAACUUCAUAUUAGUUUUAAUCACGAAUAAUUUAUUUCCUAAUUAACUACCAAACAUUGUAUAACUUAUACAAAAUUUAAUAAAUAUAUAAAUUGCUUCUUUACUAGCUACCAAACGACGACUGAUUGUUUGUUAUUGUAGUUGUCAGUCAACUAUGAGGUAAAAUAAUCAGACAUUUUGAAAUUUUCAGCUAUUGAUGUAGCCUCUUUGGAUGCUGAUCUAGAAUCCUUAUUUUUUAAAUUAUUAACAACCACCUAGCCCACCAACUUUGACCAUGGAAUAUAACUAAGUAGCCAGAUCAGUUAGACCAAAUAUUAAGUCUCCACACUGUCAUGCCACCACUCUACAUAGUUUUUUUCCCUUCUAUCAUUUCUGUUUGCUUGAUAUCUCAUACAAAAUCAAUCAUCACUUCAAUGGAGAAAGUGAAUUUCAGAAUAAAAGUCCUCAGCAGACACCUAAAUCAAGAAACAUCCACACCCAAGUUUAUACUCGAAUCGUUUCCAUGUCUUAGCUACAAGCCACCUGAGCUUUCAGAACCAUCUGCUGUUUUCGACAUAAAAGAGAUGAGAAAGCUCGUGGAUGGUCACAAUUUGGAGGAAAGGGACUGGCUUUUUGGUCUGAUGUUACAAAGCAAUCUUUUUAACCCAAUGGAAAGGGGUGGCAAAGUGUUUGUUUCCCCUGAUCACAGUCAGUCUAAAGAACAACAAAGGGAAAUUACCAUGAGGAGAAUUGAGUACCUUCUUGAACAUGGGGUUUUUAAGAAAUGGUUUACUGGUGAAGGGCCUGAAAAUGAGUUGAGAAAGUUAGCUUUCUCGGAUUGUAUUGGCGUCUUUGAUCAUUCACUGGGCAUCAAGCUUGGAGUCCAUUUGACCCUAUGGUAUGUUCUUGUCCAUUGUGUGCCUAUUUUUAAUAUCCGGAAGUUAGUGGCCUGACUAAUUUGAAUACCUCUCGGGUAGGUCCCAACUAAGGGAGAAGUUAUCUAUUCUCGAGGCCUGAACUCGAGACGUAUGGUUAAGGGGAAGACAUCUGGUUAAGUGUGGCGUCCACUAAGAGAUAAGUUCUUCAUUCCCGAGAGUUGAACCCUUGGCCUAUGGUUAAGAGUUUGAAUUGUAGUUAAGAGGUUCUUCAUUUCUAAGACUCGGUAGAACCCGACUCUUGUGGUUAAGUGCAAGAUCUUUGGUUAAGUGUGAAGGGGUCACCUCCAUCCCACCUCACCUCUUGGUGGUCCGAAUGAUAAAUUGCUAUAAUGGUUGUUGUUACUGUUUGUUUUUCGCUCAAAUUAGUUGGGAUCAGAUAUAUGAAUCGGCUUUGUCUAUCUCAGAGAACUCAUAGUUCCAUUCUUUUUACUAUGGUUGUCAAAAGAUAUAAUUUUUGAAUAGGAAUAAGAAAGAAUACAAGUGACAUUUAAUUUUCCUGGACGGACAUUCUUGAUUGCUUGAUUGAUUGGUUAAAGAAAGUAUGCUUGGCAACUUUAGACCACCAGUCCGUGGAGGGUAGGAUGUACGCAAACCCUACCCCUGCCUUUGUGGGGUAGAUAGUUUGUUUCCGUUAGACCCUUGGCUCAAAACAGAAGUUUUUUAAGCAAGGAAAAUGCAAUAGAAAAAUAGCAAGAUACAAAGCAAAUGAAACAACAGAUAGUACCGCACAUUGAAAAAUAAGAAACUAAGGGAAUGCUAACUAGUACUACCACUACUAAUAGGAGGGGUAUUAUAUAAUUUUUUGAAUUAAUUUAAAUUAAUAAGUGUGAUAUUAAUUAGAAAGUCGUUUGUUUACAUUGAUGGGAUGUAUAAGAAUAUUUCAUGAGAUCUAUUAAUCCCACCUUUUGUAUGAAAUUGCUAAUUUCACCAUUUUGUACAAAAUUAUUUUCGGAACUAAUCAACAUCCAUAUUCAAAUAUUCUAAUACGACACUGAGGAGUUGUUCGGUAGCUGGUUAGAAUUAUGCAUGUAUUAGCUAUUCUAUCCUCUACUCCAUACAAGUUAAUACAUCAAUUUCCUCAUAACUUAUACAUGUAUUAGUUACGAGUUUCUAAAUUGCAACCAAAUGUCAUAUCAGUGUUAAACAUGAAUGACUUAUUUCCUAACUAACUGCCAGACAUUGUAUAACUUAUACAAAAAUUAGUACAUGUAUAAAUUGCUUCUUUACUAGCUACCAAACAAGCUCUGAUUGUUUUUUAUUGUAGUUGUUAGUCAACUAUUAUGUAAAAUAAUCAGACCUUUUGAAAUUUUCAGCUAUUGAUGUAGCCUCUUGUGGAUGCAGAUCUAGAAUCCUUAUUUUUUUAAUUAUUAUUAACCACCUAGCCCACCAACCUUGACCAUGGAAUAUAACUAAGUAGCCAGAUCAGUUAGACCAAAUAUUAAGUUUCCACACUGUCAUGCCACCACUCUACAUUGUUUUUUUCCCUUCUUAUCAUUUCUGUUUUCUUGAUUUCUCAUACAAAAUCAAUCAUCACUUCAAUGGAGAAAGUGAGUUUCAGAAUAGAAGUCCUCAGCAGACACCUAAGUCAAAAAACAUCAACUCCCAAGUAUACACUCCAAUCAGUCCCAUGUCUUAGCUACAAGCCACCUGAGCUUUCAGAACCAUCUGCUGUUUUCAACAUACAAGAGAUGAGAAAGCUCAUGGAUGGUCACAAUUUGGAGGAAAGGGAGUGGCUUUUUGGUCUGAUGUUACAAAGCAAUCUUUUUAACCCAAUAGAAAGGGGUGGCAAAGUGUGUGUUUCCCAUGAUUACAGUCAGUCUAAGGAACAACAAAGGGAAAUUACCAUGUGGAGAAUUGAGUACCUCCUUGAACAUGGGGUUUUCAAGAAAUGGUUUACUGGUAAAGGGCCUGAAAAUGAGUUGAGGAACUUAGCUAUCGCGAGUUGUAUUGGCGUCUUUGAUCAUUCACUUGGCACCAAGCUUGUAGUCCAUUUGUUCCU
rnacentral:lncRNA from 1 species